UCCUAGUUAACCUAGGCAGUCUCAUUAGAGUUCCCAUCCGAAAUGUUGGCAACUAAUGAUAAGGGUUGCGCUCGUUGCUGGACUUAACCAAACACCUCACGGCACGAGCUGACGACAGCCAUGCAGCACCUGUGCACCGGCCCCGAAGGGAGAUCCAAUUUCUUGGACUGUCCGGUGCAUGUCAAAUCUGGGUAAGGUUCUUCGCGUUGCAUCGAAUUAAACCACAUGCUCCACUGCUUGUGCGGGUCCCCGUCAAUUCUUUUGAGUUUUAGCCUUGCGGCCGUACUCCCCAGGCGGGGCACUUAAUGCGUUAGCUCCGGCACGGGAGGAGUCGACACCUCCCACACCUAGUGCCCAUCGUUUACGGCGUGGACUAC
rnacentral:misc_RNA from 1 species